GGAUCCUACGGGGGGCAGCAGUCGGGAAUAUUGCGCAAUGGAGGAAACUCUGACGCAGUGACGCCGCGUAUAGGAAGAAGUUUUUCGGAAUGUAAACUAUUGUCGUUAGGGAAGAGAAAGGACAGUACCUAAAGAGGAAGCUCCGGCUAACUACGUGCCAGCAGCCGCGGUAAUACGUAGGGAGCGAGCGUUAUCCGGAAUUAUUGGGUGUAAAGGGUGCGUAGGCGGAAUGCCAAGUCAGCGGUAAAAUCGCGGGGCUCAACCUCGCUCCGCCGUUGAAACUGGCGUUCUUGAGUGGGCGAGAA
rnacentral:rRNA from 1 species